rnacentral:lncRNA from 1 species
AGCCAAUCCCAUCAAAAAAUAAUCCAUCUUAUUCUCCACAUUUUUCACCAUUUUCCCCUUUUUAAUUACCCUAAUUAAACCUAUUAAACCCAAAAACCCUAGCUAGGCCAGCCACCUCCUAUUCCUAUAAAUAUACUCCCAUUCUCACUAAAAAGGCACUUCCAACCCUUGCUAAAAUUCUCUAGAAUUCUCAAACACUUUUUCUCUCUAAAUUCUAACUUUGGCAUUAGAGGUUCUUCGGCCAAAGCCCCCCCAUUCAUCGUGGGCGCGUGAGGCUCUUGGCCUUGACCUAAGGUGUUAAUUGUUUUGUAAGUGCAAUUUUG